GUGAUCCUCCUGCCUCAGCCUUCUGAGAUCUGGCAUUGCAGCACUAUGGCUCCCACAACUGGUUUAGAUACCUACCAGCAUUCCAGACUCUGGGGUUUCCUUCUUCCAUUUUAUUCACCCAUGCCUCAUUCCAAGAGUGAGCCAAGUCUACCAAGAGUACCAGCUGGAUGAGGAUGAA